rnacentral:rRNA from 1 species
AGCAGCCGCGGUAAUUCCAGCUCCAAUAGCGUAUAUUAAAGUUGUUGCAGUUAAAAAGACUCGUAGUUGAAUUUCGGGGUCAGUAGAUUGGUCAUGCCACUGGUAUGUACUGGUCUCACUGAUUCCUCCUUCCUGAUGAGCCGUAAUGCCAUUAAUUUGGUGUUGCGAGGAAUCUGGACUGUUACUUUGAAAAAAUUAGAGUGUUUAAAGCAGGCUAACGCUUGAUACAUUAGCAUGGAAUAAUGAAAUAGGACGUUCGAUCUUAUUUUGUUGGUUUCUAAGAUUGACGUAAUGAUUAAUAGGGAUAGUUGGGGGCAUUAGUAUUCAAUUGUCAGAGGUGAAAUUCUUGGAUUUAUUGAAGACUAACUACUGCGAAAGCAUUUGCCAAGGAUGUUUUCAUUAAUACAAGAACGAAAGUUAGGGGAUCG